rnacentral:rRNA from 1 species
GACGAACGCUGGCGGCGUGCUUAACACAUGCCAGUCGAACGGAAAGGCCCUGCUUUUGUGGGGUGCUCGAGCGGCGAACGGAUGAGUAACACGUGAGUAACCUGCCCUUGACUUUGGGAUAACUUCAGGAAACUGGGGCUAAUACCGGAUAGGAGCUCCUGCUGCAUGGUGGGGGUUGGAAAGUUUCGGCGGUUGGGGAUGGACUCGCGGCUUAUCAGCUUGUUGGUGGGGUAGUGGCUUACCAAGGCUUUGACGGGUAGCCGGCCUGAGAGGGUGACCGGCCACAUUGGGACUGAGAUACGGCCCAGACUCCUACGGGAGGCAGCAGUGGGGAAUAUUGCACAAUGGGCGGAAGCCUGAUGCAGCAACGCCGCGUGCGGGAUGACGGCCUUCGGGUUGUAAACCGCUUUCGCCUGUGACGAAGCGUGAGUGACGGUAAUGGGUAAAGAAGCACCGGCUAACUACGUG